rnacentral:tRNA from 1 species
GGCGUGGUGGCUAAGCGAUAAAGCACUUGUCUUCUGAACCGGAGUUCCCAGGUUCCAAUCCUGGUGAAGACU